UGGCUCAGAUUGAACGCUGGCGGCAUGCCUAACACAUGCAAGUCGAACGGUAACAGGUCUUCGGAUGCUGACGAGUGGCGGACGGGUGAGUAAUGCGUAGGAAUCUGUCUUUUAGUGGGGGACAACCCAGGGAAACUUGGGCUAAUACCGCAUGAGCCCUGAGGGGGAAAGCGGGGGAUCUUCGGACCUCGCGCUAAGAGAGGAGCCUACGUCCGAUUAGCUAGUUGGCGGGGUAAAGGCCCACCAAGGCGACGAUCGGUAGCUGGUCUGAGAGGACGACCAGCCACACUGGGACUGAGACACGGCCCAGACUCCUACGGGAGGCAGCAGUGGGGAAUUUUUCGCAAUGGGGGCAACCCUGACGAAGCAAUGCCGCGUGGAUGAAGAAGGCCUUCGGGUUGUAAAGUCCUUUCGUGGAGGACGAAAAGGUGGGUUCUAAUACAAUCUGCUAUUGACGUGAAUCCAAGAAGAAGCACCGGC
rnacentral:rRNA from 1 species